rnacentral:rRNA from 1 species
CGCUGGCUGCGUGCUUAACACAUGCAAGUCGAACGCUGAAGCUCUGGUGCUUGCACCGGGGUGGAUGAGUGGCGAACGGGUGAGUAACACGUGAGUAACCUGCCCCUGACUUCGGGAUAAGCCCGGGAAACUGGGUCUAAUACCGAAUAUGACCGUUCCUCGCAUGAGGGAUGGUGGAAAGUUUUUUCGGUUGGGGAUGGGCUCGCGGCCUAUCAGCUAGAUGGUGGGGUAAUGGCCCACCAUGGCGACGACGGGUAGCCGGCCUGAGAGGGCGACCGGCCACACUGGGACUGAGACACGGCCCAGACUCCUACGGGAGGCAGCAGUGGGGAAUAUUGCACAAUGGGGGAAACCCUGAUGCAGCGACGCAGCGUGCGGGAUGACGGCCUUCGGGUUGUAAACCGCUUUCAGCAGGGAAGAAGCCCCUUGGGGUGACGGUACCUGCAGAAGAAGUACCGGCUAACUACGUGCCAGCAGCCGCGGUAAUACGUAGGGUACGAGCGUUGUCCGGAAUUAUUGGGCGUAAAGAGCUCGUAGGUGGUUGGUCACGUCUGCUGUGGAAACGCAACGCUUAACGUUGCGCGUGCAGUGGGUACGGGCUGACUAGAGUGCAGUAGGGGAGUCUGGAAUUCCUGGUGUAGCGGUGAAAUGCGCAGAUAUCAGGAGGAACACCGGUGGCGAAGGCGGGACUCUGGGCUGUAACUGACACUGAGGAGCGAAAGCAUGGGGAGCGAACAGGAUUAGAUACCCUGGUAGUCCAUGCCGUAAACGUUGGGCACUAGGUGUGGGGGACAUUCCACGUUCUCCGCGCCGUAGCUAACGCAUUAAGUGCCCCGCCUGGGGAGUACGGUCGCAAGGCUAAAACUCAAAGGAAUUGACGGGGGCCCGCACAAGCGGCGGAGCAUGCGGAUUAAUUCGAUGCAACGCGAAGAACCUUACCAAGGCUUGACAUACACCAGACCGGGCUGGAAACAGUCCUUCCCCUUUGGGGUUGGUGUACAGGUGGUGCAUGGUUGUCGUCAGCUCGUGUCGUGAGAUGUUGGGUUAAGUCCCGCAACGAGCGCAACCCUCGUUCUAUGUUGCCAGCACGUGAUGGUGGGAACUCAUAGGAGACUGCCGGGGUCAACUCGGAGGAAGGUGGGGAUGACGUCAAAUCAUCAUGCCCUUUAUGUCUUGGGCUUCACGCAUGCUACAAUGGCUGGUACAGAGAGAUGCGAGACCGUGAGGUUUUAGCGAAUCCCUUAAAGCCAGUCUCAGUUCGGAUCGUAGUCUGCAAUUCGACUACGUGAAGUCGGAGUCGCUAGUAAUCGCAGAUCAGCAACGCUGCGGUGAAUACGUUCCCGGGCCU